AUUAAAGAUAAGGGUUUUCAGAUUCAUUUUUCAUUACAAAAGUCAUUCAAGGUUCAAAUAUCCAAUUACAUCACAAAAGUGUAAAAUCCAAAAACCUAAAAAAAAUACAAUUUUUGACCUACAGUUGACUUUGGUCAACGAUCGAGUUUUUGGUCAAGUAGUUGAUUAAAGUCAACUACCUAGUUCCAAUCCCUAAACCCUAUGCCUUUCUUCAUCUUCACUUUGAUCUCCAAGUCACUAAGAAUUCCUCAUGUUCAAGUCUUUGCCCAUGCCUUCAUGAUCUAAAUGCCAAGUCAUCUUGUCACAUACACCAUUCCUGCAAAUCACGCAAAUGCACUUUUAGAGUUACUCAAACAUAGCUCAAGCACUACAAAGUCAUUUUUAUAACACAUUUAAACCAUCAAUGAACAACCUACAUUAAUUAGUUAACUCCUCAUGAUAAUUCACAUAACUUCUACUCAUGAUUUUCACCUCACCAUGCAGUUAACCCAACUAAAAGUUGCUAAAAGAGAAAGAUAAUUUCAGCAACCAACUAACACACUUGCACAAUAACAUUAAACAUCCAAUACAUUUACAACUUCAUAGAAAGGCAUACCAUUAGUCCAAAUAAUAACAAAACCACUUCAUGAUACCCAAUUACUCCUCUGAACAUAGUCUAACAGUGAUCAAAUAGUCCAGUCAUACAUAAUCUCCUAGUAUAAUCACAUAACAAUCAAUAAUUCAAAUUCAUCACAGAAUUGCAUAAACCUUUCAAAAAGUUAGAACUAGUUACCAUUCAUAUCCCAAUUCUAAUCAUUAAACUCAGUCACGACGAGUUCUAUUGGCAACAACAUGUAUUCAUACUCCAAUUCAAUUCAAUAACUGAAAUUAUUCAACUUAGAUAGCAAGGUUUUAACAUACUAAUUCAUUCAUUCAACACCAGUCUCAUAGUUCAUAGUUCAUCACACAACCAGUUUCAAUGAUAAUCCUUCACUUCAAUACAUCUAACUGCAAAACUAAUUGUUUCAUUUUAAAGCAGCCAUAGAUGUGCAAUAGUAAGCAAUUUAUUUACAAGUAGUUCACAAAACUAACAUACUAACUUCAAUUUAAAAUUGAUGUCAUGAAUAAUUUCCAAUUUAACAAAUUUAACAGUUGAAUUAACAAUCCUUAUUUCCUACUAAUCAACAAUCUAACUAAAUAUCAAUUCAAAAUAACUCAUCCAAAAGCUAACACAUUAAGCAAUUUAACUGAUCAAUAAAAAACUAUCACUAACAUCAUUAUCAUCUUUCUCAACAAUUCAAUGAUUACUAACUCUAUCCUAAAAUAACUACACCAACCAACUCAUAACAGAAAUCAAUUGAAUCAAACUAACUAACAAACUAACAUUAACCGAGUCUAACAAAAUUUCUAACACCGUUAUUAACUUCUAACUAAUUUUCACAUAGGAGAUCCAAUUCAGUUAACUUUGUUACACUCUCAUCCUUAUAAAUCUAUGCCUUCACCAUUCAUUCGAGAAAAACCACAAUCUCAGAAAUUAAAAGCUAUAUUUCAAUCGUCAAUUCUCUCUCUCUCUCUCUCUCUCUCUCUCUCUCUCUGCAAUUCCCUUCACUUUCACCCUCACAUAGAGCUCAAUAAUUCUCUCUCUCUCUCUCUCUCUCUCUCUCUCUCUCUCUCUCUCUGCAAUUCCCUUCACUUUCACCCUCACAUAGAGCUCAAUUUUUUGCAGCCAUUGAAGCUUCUCCUUGAAGCUUCAAACAUGCUGAAGCUAGACCUCUCACAUUCUCACACUUUCAUACUCUCUUCUCAUGCACGCGCAUACAACAUGUCAUAGAAAAGCAAGAAAUUUGAGCCUACAAACUAUAAUUGAAGAAGAAGAAUAAGGUGUAGUAGAAAGGAUAAUUGAGAUUCAAGGUUACCUGUUCGAUUCUCUGGUAUUUUCUGUGUGAAUUUCAUCUUCAGUGGCAACAAAAUCUAAGAUGAAUCUAUGUCUUGCAGGUUGGUGAUUUGCCUCCUUUUUGCCUCUAUUUACGCUGAACUUCAUACCAUAAUGUAGUCUUUAAUAUAAGGAAUCAAAUCCCCAAUGCUAUAGGCUUUGAUUCCAUGGCUUCAAUGUUUAAUUUGUGAAAUUGUUACUCAGGGUUCUUGUGAGUUUAGUGUCAGUUUGAGAGAUUUAGGAAGAAUCAAAGGAAAAGUAUUAGCGAUUAUGGAAGAGAAGGAGAUAACGAAUAAUUUAAUGUGAGGUUUGCAAGAAUUGGCCCUCCGCCUCCGCUAGAGGCGAUUUCCAGCAUGGCGGAGGAAGAAAUGGAAAUCACCCUGGGAGAGGAAGGUUUGAACGAGUGUGGAACAAAAUGGAGACUUCUGCAAGAAUUGGCCCUCCGCCUCCGCUAGAGGCAAUUUCCAGCAUGGCGGAGGAAGAAAUGGAAAUCACCCUGGGAGAGGAAGGUUUGAACGAGUGUGGAACAAAAUGGACACUUCUGUUGUCUCCUUCCUUUGACGCAACCUUUUUAGGGCUUCUGUAUCAGAAAUAUACCCGAACAUAUCGCACGCUCAAACAUACAACAGAGUUGUCAUCGAACCCCUAU
rnacentral:lncRNA from 1 species